rnacentral:rRNA from 1 species
AGAGUUUCAUUCUGGCUCAGGAUGAACGCUGGCGGCAUGCCUAAUACAUGCAAGUCGAACGAAGUCUUCAGGAAGCUUGCUUCCAAAAAGACUUAGUGGCGAACGGGUGAGUAACACGUAGGUAACCUGCCCAUGUGUCCGGGAUAACUGCUGGAAACGGUAGCUAAAACCGGAUAGGUAUACGGAGCGCAUGCUCUGUAUAUUAAAGCGCCCAUCAAGGCGUGAACAUGGAUGGACCUGCGGCGCAUUAGCUAGUUGGUGAGGUAACGGCCCACCAAGGCGAUGAUGCGUAGCCGGCCUGAGAGGGUAAACGGCCACAUUGGGACUGAGACACGGCCCAAACUCCUACGGGAGGCAGCAGUAGGGAAUUUUCGUCAAUGGGGGAAACCCUGAACGAGCAAUGCCGCGUGAGUGAAGAAGGUCUUCGGAUCGUAAAGCUCUGUUGUAAGUGAAGAACGGCUCAUAGAGGAAAUGCUAUGGGAGUGACGGUAGCUUACCAGAAAGCCACGGCUAACUACGUGCCAGCAGCCGCAGUAAUACGUAGGUGGCAAGCGUUAUCCGGAAUCAUUGGGCGUAAAGGGUGCGUAGGUGGCGUACUAAGUCUGUAGUAAAAGGCAAUGGCUCAACCAUUGUAAGCUAUGGAAACUGGUAUGCUGGAGUGCAGAAGAGGGCGAUGGAAUUCCAUGUGUAGCGGUAAAAUGCGUAGAUAUAUGGAGGAACACCAGUGGCGAAGGCGGUCGCCUGGUCUGUAACUGACACUGAGGCACGAAAGCGUGGGGAGCAAAUAGGAUUAGAUACCCUAGUAGUCCACGCC